GAUGAACGCUGGCGGCGUGCCUAAUACAUGCAAGUCGAGCGAACGGACGAGAAGCUUGCUUCUCUGAUGUUAGCGGCGGACGGGUGAGUAACACGUGGAUAACCUACCUAUAAGACUGGGAUAACUUCGGGAAACCGUAGCUAAUACCGGAUAAUAUUUUGGACCGCAUGGUUCAAAAGUGAAAGACGGUCUUGCUGUCACUUAUAGAUGGAUCCGCGCUGCAUUAGCUAGUUGGUAAGGUAACGGCUUACCAAGGCAACGAUGCAUAGCCGACCUGAGAGGGUGAUCGGCCACACUGGAACUGAGACACGGUCCAGACUCCUACGGGAGGCAGCAGUAGGGGAUCUUCCGCAAUGGGCGAAAGCCUGACGGAGCAACGCCGCGUGAGUGAUGAAGGUCUUCGGAUCGUAAAACUCUGUUAUUAGGGAAGAACAUAUGUGUAAGUAACUGUGCACAUCUUGACGGUACCUAAUCAGAAAGCCACGGCUAACUACGUG
rnacentral:rRNA from 1 species